AUGAAAAGGACACCUCUGGAGGCUAAGUCCAAGAAUGAGUUUUGGGAAACCACCAGAUCAUGCUGUCUUCUCUGCAUUGGGAGCAGCUCUCCUGCCACAGCCCCUCAUCCCCUGAAAAUGUCCACCUGUGCAAGGGUGUCUCCAACUCCUUCUUGGUCAGGAGCGCCUCUCAGGUGUUGAGCUGAUCACUGUCUGCAAUGGUACUAACCACCGGAGACACUGACAGAUGAGAGCCUCGGCAGCUUGGCAGCCCCACGGCCCCUGGCCUUAUUUAUUCCUAGCUACAGCUUCUGAACCAGCACCAUUUCAAGGGAUAUCGACACAACAGCCAAAUUCACUGGGGCUGGGGCUGCCAUGGUAGGGAGAGCUGGCUCUGGGGCUGGAACUGGGGCUGUGCUUGGGAGCCUCAUCAUUGGUUAUGCCAGGAACCCUUGAAGCAACAAUUCUCCUCCUACGCCAUUCUGGGUUUUACCCUCUUGGGGGCCUUAGGGUUCUUUUGCAUGAUGGUGGCCUUUCUCAUCCUCUUCACCACGUGA